rnacentral:rRNA from 1 species
GACGAACGCUGGCGGCGUGCCUAAUACAUGCAAGUUGAGCGAUGAAGAUUGGUGCUUGCACCAAUUUGAAGAGCAGCGAACGGGUGAGUAACGCGUGGGGAAUCUGCCUUUGAGCGGGGGACAACAUUUGGAAACGAAUGCUAAUACCGCAUAAUAACUUUAAACAUAAGUUUUAAGUUUGAAAGAUGCAAUUGCAUCACUCAAAGAUGAUCCCGCGUUGUAUUAGCUAGUUGGUGAGGUAAAGGCUCACCAAGGCGAUGAUACAUAGCCGACCUGAGAGGGUGAUCGGCCACAUUGGGACUGAGACACGGCCCAAACUCCUACGGGAGGCAGCAGUAGGGAAUCUUCGGCAAUGGACGAAAGUCUGACCGAGCAACGCCGCGUGAGUGAAGAAGGUUUUCGGAUCGUAAAACUCUGUUGGUAGAGAAGAACGUUGGUGAGAGUGGAAAGCUCAUCAAGUGACGGUAACUACCCAGAAAGGGGCGGCUAACUACGUG